GCCCAUGUGGCGCAGUGGUUAGCGCUCUUGCUGCCUGUCCAACGGGACUUUUUGCCUCGUGGGUUCGAUUCCCCGGGGGUG